AUGAACGCUGGCGGCGUGCCUAAUACAUGCAAGUCGAACGCGCAGCGAGAGGUGCUUGCACCUUUCAAGCGAGUGGCGAGCGGGUGAGUAACACGUGGAUAACCUGCCUCAAGGCUGGGGAUAACAUUAGGAAUCAGAUGAUAAUUCCGAAUAACACUUAGUAUCGCAUGAUAUCAAGUUAAAAGGCGUUACGCCGUCACCUAGAGAUGGAUCCGCGGUGCAUUAGUUAGUUGGUGGGGUAAAGGCUUACCAAGGCGAUGAUGCAUAGCCGAGUUGAGAGGGUGAUCGGCCACAUUGGGACUGAGACACGGCCCAAACUCCUACGGGAGGCCGCAGUAGGGAAUCUUCCACAAUGGGCGCAAGCCUGAUGGAGCACCGCCGCGUGUGUGAUGAAGGCUUUCGGGUUGUAAAGCUCUGUUGUAUGGGAAGAAAUGUUAUAAUAGUAAAUGAUUUUACUUUGACGGUACCUUACCAGAAAGGCACGGGUAAAUUCGUGCCAGCAACCGCGGUAAUACGUAUGUGCCGAGCGUUAUCCGGAUUUAUUGGGCGUAAAGCGAGCGCAGGCGGUUUAUUAAGUUUGAUGUGAAAGCCCGGAGCUCAACUCCGGAAUGGCAUUGGAAACUGGUUAACUUGAGUGUUGUAGAGGUAAGUGGAACUCCAUGUGUAGCGGUGGAAUGCGUAGAUAUAUGGAAGAACUCCAGUGGGGAAGGCGGCUUCCUGGUCAACAACUGACGUUGAGGCUCGAAAGUGUGGGUAGCAAACAGGAUUAGAUACCCUGGUAGUCCACCCGUAAACGAUGAAUCUAGGUGUUAGGAGGUUCCGCCUUUAGUGCCGAAGCUAACGC
rnacentral:rRNA from 1 species